GACGAGCCUCACGAACGUUAUUCGGAAUUACUGGGCUUAAAGGGUGCGUAGGCGGCGCGGAAAGUAGGGUGUGAAAUCCCUCGGCUCAACCGAGGAACUGCGCUCUAAACUACCGUGCUCGAGGGAGAUAGAGGUAAGCGGAACUUAGGGUGGAGCGGUGAAAUGCGUUGAUAUCCUAAGGAACACCGGUGGCGAAAGCGGCUCACUGGAUCUCUUCUGACGCUGAGGCACGAAAGCUAGGGUAGCGAACGGG
rnacentral:rRNA from 1 species